rfam:HIV-1 isolate 97CM21 from Cameroon 5' long terminal repeat LTR, complete sequence.
CUCUGGUAACUAGAGAUCCCUCAGAUCUCUUUCGUCCGGGUGGAAAAUCUCUAGCAGUGGCGCCCGAACAGGGACUCGAAAACGAAAGUAGAACCAGAG